rnacentral:rRNA from 1 species
UACAGAGGUCUCAAGCGUUGUUCGGAUUCAUUGGGCGUAAAGGGCGCGUAGGCGGGCUGCCAAGUUUGGGGGGAAAUCCUCCGGCUCAACCGGGGAAGUGCCUUGAAUACUGGCGGUCUGGAGGGAGGUAGGGGCGUGCGGAACUGUAGGUGGAGCGGUGAAAUGCGUUGAUAUCUACAGGAACUCCGGUGGCGAAGGCGGCACGCUGGACCUUUUCUGACGCUGAGGCGCGAAAGCCAGGGGAGCGAACGGG